rnacentral:tRNA from 1 species
GCCUGGGUGGCUCAGUUGGUUGGGCGUCUGACUUCAGCUCAGGUCAUGAUCUCACAGUUCAUGGGUUCGAGCCCUGCAUCGGGCU